GUCAUUUCCAAUAGUCUCGUUUGUUGAGGGGGUACAUCUUGACAAUUUGGGGGAUCCUGGCCUACGGGAUGCAUCAGCAGCAGCGGUGAUGGUAGCAGUGGUAGCAGCAGAGGAAGCAGCAGGAGCAGCAGCCGCCACCGCCUCCGCGGUGGCUGCACCGCGCGCGCAAACCGCGCUAGGUCCACCGGGCUCCGCGAGGUUGUCUGCCUGCGUGGAGAGGCGGGGCUUGGCGCCUGAGGGAGUGGCUUGGCGCCCGGGGGCGGGGCCCAGCGAGCAGGACUCGGGCUGUCUGCUCUCGGCGGCGGCGGCACCGGCUGAGGGCACAGCCAGCGGGCGGCGCGCCGCGGACUCCCAGGCAGCCCGCCGAAAGAAUCCUGAAUUUCACCAUGAAGAGACUGUCGCCCAGCCUUCUCAUCUAGAGAAUUAUUCUCAGGAUCUGCAGACAGGAGGUACGUUCAGAUUUACAUCUUUUAAGCUCCUUAAUAUUCUUAUUAGAAGCUAUGUUGAGCAAUUCCCUUUGUAAUCGGCCCUAUCUGGGUUUUGGAAUAUUUAUUCUCAAUAAUCGGUUUGAUCUAUGGCAAUAGUUUCUUGCCAGGAAGAGCUCAGAGAAAAGAAUUGAUGUUGCUGUCCUGCUUUAUAUCGAAGCAUCUCCUGAAAUUAGGUGGUUCUGCGUGUUUGACAGGUUUGGGCCUAUUUAAGUUGAGGAAGUGGGUUGCUACUGGUAAAGUAAGGGUGGAUACUGGGGGGUGUAAUUUCGUCUUAGAGCUGUGUAAUAAAAUACAAACUGAGUGUUUUUCCUUCUCUUAU
rnacentral:lncRNA from 1 species